rnacentral:rRNA from 1 species
ACGAAUCCUGGUUGGGGGUAACUCUGACCGGGGGAAGUGGCGAAAGGGGCAGUAAUGCGUGGGUAACCUACCCCGGGGACCGGGAUAGCCUUCCUAACGGAAGGGUAAUACCGGGCAAUGUAACGCAGGCGCCUGUCUGUGUUACCAGAAGGUCCUCCGCCCUGGGAGGGGCUCACGUGAUAUUAGCUUGUUGGUGGGGUAACGGCUCACCAAGGCUCAGAUGUCUAGCGGGUGUGAGAGCACGACCCGCGCCACUGGCACUGAGACACUGGCCAGACUCCUACGGGAGGCUGCAGUCGAGGAUCUUCGGCAAUGGGCGCAAGCCUGACCGAGCGACGCCGCGUGCGCGAUGAAGGCCUUCGGGUUGUAAAGCGCUGUCGAGGGGGAGGAAAGCCCGCAAGGGUCUGACCUAUCCCUGGAGGAAGCACGGGCUAAGUUCGUGCCAGCAGCCGCGGUAAGACGAACCGUGCAAACGUUGUUCGGAAUCACUGGGCUUAAAGGGCGCGUAGGCGGGUUCCCAAGUCCGGGGUGAAAUCUUUCGGCUUAACC